GCCAUUCUACUUCAUCAGUGGGCAAAAUGGUAAUUGUGACAAGGGCCAGAAACUCUUCAUAGUUGUCUUGGCUGUUAGGCAUCACAACAAACCAAACCCUCCUGUUGCUCCCACAACUCCCCCUAGCACCAGCCCUACCUCCCCAUCCCCCAAAUCUCCAUCUCCUCAGUACCCUCAUCACCCUCCUGGGACCUCACCAUCACCAGCAUCAGUGGCUAACCCUCCAGCCACCUCACCAUCACCAGUAGUGGCUAGCCCUCCUGCCACCUCCCCAUCACCAGUGGGCUACCCUCCUGCCACCUCCCCAUCGCCAGUGGGCUACCCUCCUGCCACCUCACCAUCACCAGUGGGCUACCCUCCUGCCACCUCACCAUCACCAGUGGGAUACACUCCUGCCACCUCACCAUCCCCAUCAACAACAACAUCUCCAGCGCUAGCGCCAGGUCCAUCUUCAUCCCUUACACCAUUUCCUUCUCCACCCUCACCGCCCCCCGAGGGGCCCACACCGCCCUCCGAGGGGCCCACACCGGCCCCGUCCGCAGAGUCUGCGGGCCCCACACCACCGGGAACCGUUUCUCCGCCGCCCGGGACAGCGGACUCGACGGCUCCGAGACCGGCGGGGAGUGGAGCGUCGCAUAGUGUAACGGCUCCUUCGAGCGUGCUGGUGUCU
rnacentral:lncRNA from 1 species